GAUGAACGCUGGCGGCGUGCCUAAUACAUGCAAGUCGAGCGAACAGAUGAGGAGCUUGCUCCUCUGAUGUUAGCGGCGGACGGGUGAGUAACACGUGGAUAACCUACCUAUAAGACUGGGAUAACUUCGGGAAACCGGAGCUAAUACCGGAUGAUAUAUUGAACCGCAUGGUUCAAAAGUGAAAGACGGUUUUGCUGUCACUUAUAGAUGGAUCCGCGCUGCAUUAGCUAGUUGGUAAGGUAACGGCUUACCAAGGCAACGAUGCAUAGCCGACCUGAGAGGGUGAUCGGCCACACUGGAACUGAGACACGUUCCAGACUCCUACGGGAGGCAGCAGUAGGGAAUCUUCCGCAAUGGGCGAAAGCCUGACGGAGCAACGCCGCGUGAGUGAUGAAGGUCUUCGGAUCGUAAAACUCUGUUAUUAGGGAAGAACAAAUGUGUAAGUAACUGUGCACAUCUUGACGGUACCUAAUCAGAAAGCCACGGCUAACUACGUG
rnacentral:rRNA from 1 species